GGUGGCUUAGUGGUAAAGUGCUUGCCUAGCAUGCAUGAGGCCCUAGGUUUGAUUCCUUGAUACCA
rnacentral:tRNA from 1 species